UCUGGGAGCAGGAGGAUAUUUUAGCAAAAUCUUCGUAAUAACAUUUAGCUGUCUAAACUAUAAAGGAAUAAUCUGUCAAACAACGUUCAGAAGAAAACACACUGAGUUCUGUAAAUCCUGCGGUGCAACCUUACGGAUACGGCUCGGAACACGUUAUUCACUUUUACUGCCACUUAGAAAGAAAGCGUAACGAAAGAGAUUCAGCACAGAAGCUGGUGCCAUGGUAACUACCGAGCAUGUGCUCGCGAAGCGCUUAUUUGCCUGUCUGUUCACGGAUGGAGCGCAGUGAGACCCUGUGGAACCAAAGAGUAGGCUACCUACGCAGGAGGAGCGUCACUCCAUGUCUGAAAAGGGACCCUCGGACACAUGCCUCUGCCCCUCCAGCCGUUCUACAGCAGCCGAAGCCCACAAUCCCUCGCUGAUGAGACGGAGACGCUGCCUCCUUUGUCCAUUGGCCUUGUGGAUCAGGAAGGUGUUACUCAGGCCGUCAGACGGGCUGAGCUGGAAGUCUGCCCAGCCUGCCCACCGAGUUGCCCCCUGUCCAAAUAAAUUAAACUGCAGGAAGGGAAGGCGAGAGUAGAAAAAGACGAAAGGAACCAUGUCUCGACAGUUUAAUUAUCCAACACAGCUUUUUGAGGCCUUAGGAAACAGCAGGUUGGAUUUGGUCUCCUUAAUCCCAACCUGCCAUAAACACGUCCCAGACCUCCAUCGGCUGACCCAGAGAGGGAGGACUGGGUGGAGAGGGCUGCCAGUGUCCCUGGACUAUUACUGAGAGGUCUCUUCUUAAUGUUCUGCCAUUAAAAUCCAUUUCUGCCUUUAUUACUCUUUUUUAUAUUAGUCAUUACUUUAUAAAUUACUGUGACAUUAGACUGACAAAUGGACAGUAUAUAACAUAUUAAUUUAAAUCACAUGGAGUAGAAACAAUUAAAGUAACAUAUAUACACUAUAAUGACAGUAAAAUGUGUGUGUGUAUAUAUAUAUAUUCUUUUUUCUUUGUAGUAGGAUAAGUAACUAAAAGUACCACAUGUGUCAUCUAUCUAUCUAUCUAACUAGGUUGAAUUAGUGCCCAUCAAGUGCUAGUCCAGUCUUGAAUUUAGAUUUUCAAGAAAUAGUCUGCUAAAUGAUUUAUUUAGCCAGGAGUAAUAGUUGACUUAUAAUGUUUUAAUGUAAACAAUCUAAAUUGCAGAUAAAAAGAAAUUUUAAUUUCUAGGUUUUUUGAGAGCCUCUUUUAUAAUUAUCAUUUACAA